rnacentral:siRNA from 1 species
AGGGAAGUCCUCGUGUUGCAUCCCU